rnacentral:rRNA from 1 species
AUACGGAGGAUGCAAGCGUUAUCCGGAUUUAUUGGGUUUAAAGGGUGCGUAGGCGGUUUGCUAAGCGGGAGGUGAAAUGCCGGCGCUCAACGUCGGAAGUGCCUCCCGAACUGGUGGACUUGAAUGACUCUGCCGUGGGAGGAAUGUGUAGUGUAGCGGGGAAAUGCUUAGAGAUUACACAGAACACCGAUUGCGAAGGCAUCUCACGAAGGGUUGAUUGACGCUGAGGCACGAAAGCGUGGGGAUCAAACAGGAUUAGAUACCCUGGUAGUCCACGCAGUAAACGAUGAUGGCUAACCGCUGGGCUUAUCAGUUCAGUGGCCAAGCGAAAGCGAUAAGCCAUCCACCUGGGGAGUACGACCGCAAGGUUGAAACUCAAAGGAAUUGACGGGG